rnacentral:rRNA from 1 species
GUCGAGCGAACAGAUGAGGAGCUUGCUCCUCUGACGUUAGCGGCGGACGGGUGAGUAACACGUGGGCAACCUGCCCUAUAGUUUGGGAUAACUCGCGGAAACGUGAGCUAAUACCGAAUAAUACAUUUCAUCUCCUGAUGGGAUGUUGAAAGAUGGUUUUUCGCUAUCGCUAUAGGAUGGGCCCGCGGCGCAUUAGCUAGUAGGUGAGGUAACGGCUCACCUAGGCAACGAUGCGUAGCCGACCUGAGAGGGUGAUCGGCCACACUGGGACUGAGACACGGCCCAGACUCCUACGGGAGGCAGCAGUAGGGAAUCUUCCACAAUGGACGAAAGUCUGAUGGAGCAACGCCGCGUGAGUGAAGAAGGUUUUCGGAUCGUAAAACCCUGUUGUAAGGGAAGAACAAGUACAGUAGUAACUGGCUGUACCUUGACGGUACCUUAUUAGAAAGCCACGGCUAACUACGUGCCAGCAGCCGCGGUAAUACGUAGGUGGCAAGCGUUGUCCGGAAUUAUUGGGCGUAAAGCGCGCGCAGGCGGUCCUUUAAGUCUGAUGUGAAAUCACGUGGCUCAACCACGUGCGGUCAUUGGAAACUGGAGGACUUGAGUGCAGAAGAGGAAAGUGGAAUUCCAAGUGUAGCGGUGAAAUGCGUA